AGGCAAGUGGGAGAGACAGUCUGUCUCCAACAGCUUUGAUCCCAUCCGGCCUGCUCCCCACUCCCACAACCGCCGCCCUCCGGGCAUCUGCAUCUGCGCGGGCCUGUAACUUCUCUGACUCCAGUGACACCAGCAAGUGACGUCUCCUUUGGCCAAGCAGACAAGAGCUGACCAGAGGAGCCAGGGAGCUCCGGGGCAGAGGCCUGACGGUCUGCAGCUGGCGAGAAGGAAGCCAGACCAGCGUUAGGCAUUAGCUCUAACUCGGAGCAAAGACUGAGAACCUUGCCAGGGAAGAAGCUUGUUCUAAACCCCCCAAAGCAACCUCUAUGGACCGCCUCAGCUGCUCUAGAGGAUUCUAAGAUGAUGAAGACGGUGCUGGCCCUUGAAGAGAUGGCAGUUUAGUGAUGCUGAGAAACCAGGAAGUGGACGAUUACAAGAAUCCAAGGGGCCAGAGAGGGAUGCGAGAGGGCAAGUGGGGCAGACAUUGAAGCUGAACUUCUGUCACAGCUGAAUGAGUUCCUAUGCCCCAGCCGUGGAAUUGGGACUUGGAUGGCAUGGUCCACAUUUCCUUCCCGUCCUCCGCACCUUCCCUACACUCUGCAGGAUGCAGUUCUUAGCCCUGAGAAAUCCUCUCAAUUUGCUGCCUUGAAUCAGUUGACCUGGUAGGACUUGUGGGAACAUGGAGGGUGGGCUUGGCCCUACAUACUCCAGUAUCUUUAUAUACAGAAUUGCACAUUUGUUUUUACUUGGGUUUCAUUGGUUCCACUUAGUGGUGUGCUGGUAAA